rnacentral:misc_RNA from 1 species
GAUGAAGAACGCAGCAAAAUGCGAUAAGUAAUGUGAAUUGCAGAAUUCAGUGAAUCAUCGAAUCUUUGAACGCACAUUGCGCCCGCUGGUAUUCCGGCGGGCAUGCCUGUUCGAGCGUCAUUUCAACCCUCAAGCCCCCGGGUUUGGUGUUGGGGAUCGGCUCUGCCCUUCUGGGCGGUGCCGCCCCUGAAAUACAUUGGCGGUCUCGCUGCAGCCUCCAUUGCGUAGUAGCUAACACCUCGCAACUGGAACGCGGCGCGGCCAUGCCGUAAAACCCCAACUUCUGAAUGUUGACCUCGGAUCAGGUAGGAAUACCCGCUGAACUUAAGCAUAUCAAUAAGCGGAGGA